rnacentral:rRNA from 1 species
CUUUUUUAGCUAUAGGUUUGCUAUUAGUGGCAGACGGGUGAGUAAUGCAUAGGAAUCUACCUAGUAGUAUGGAAUAGCCAUUAGAAAUGAUGGGUAAUACUGUAUAAUCCCUGCGGGGGAAAGAUUUAUCGCUAUUAGAUGAGCCUAUGUUAGAUUAGUUAGUUGGUAAGGUAAUGGCUUACCAAGACUAUGAUCUAUAGCUGGUCUGAGAGGACGAUCAGCCACACUGGAACUGAGAUACGGUCCAGACUCCUACGGGAGGCAGCAGUGGGGAAUAUUGGACAAUGGGCGAAAGCCUGAUCCAGCUAUGCCGCGUGAGUGAAGAAGGCCUUCGGGUUGUAAAGCUCUUUCAAUAGGGAAGAUAAUGACGGUACCUAUAGAAGAAGUCCCGGCAAACUCCGUGCCAGCAGCCGCGGUAAUACGGAGGGGGCAAGCGUUGUUCGGAAUUAUUGGGCGUAAAGGGCACGUAGGUGGACUAGUAAGUUAAAAGUGAAAUACCAAAGCUUAACUUUGGAGCGGCUUUUAAUACUGCUAGACUAGAGGUCGAAAGAGGAUAGCGGAAUUCCUAGUGUAGAGGUGAAAUUCGUAGAUAUUAG